rnacentral:sRNA from 1 species
GUUUUGCGUGAGGGAUAGUAGUGGAAAUCCUUUUUUGCCACUCUUUUUGUAGCAAAAAAGAUUAUUUCACAAUUUUAUAUUUCUUUUGGUAUUCAAUGAACGUUGUUUGAAACGGAUAGCCCGACCCGAA